rnacentral:misc_RNA from 1 species
AAAGAGAGAGAGAGCGAGAGAGAGGCCGUCUUGGCCUGAUCCUUGAUAUUAUUGUUAGCAGUUAUGGAAAUGGAGGCAGCAAAAUAUUGGAAAGAAGAAGACUCUGUCUCUGUAUGGCCUCCAAGAUCUUAUUUCUGCAAUUUCUGUGGGAGAGAAUUCGGGUCAGCUCAAGCUUUGGGUGGUCAUAUGAAUGUCCAUAGGAGGGAUAGAGCAAGGCUAAAGCAGUAUCCUGCAGAUUUUCAAAACGAUUUUCUUCAUCAUCAUCAACAUCAAAAUCCUCCUAAAAUUGACUUCGUUCACAAUCCUAAGACUGGGGUUUUCAUGUCGCCAGCCGGAGUUUCAACUCCGAUGGUGAUGACCACCGGAGAUAUUUCAGUGAUCAAUCCAGGUGGGAGGAGGAAGGAGAAUGUUAGUAGUAAGAGGCAAAGAAGUGAUGAAAUAUUCACUCCUAAAUCAAGUUCCAUGAAGAAAG